rnacentral:rRNA from 1 species
UACGGGGGGGGCAAGCGUUGUUCGGAAUUACUGGGCGUAAAGGGCUCGUAGGCGGCCAACUAAAUCAGACGUGAAAUCCCUCGGCUUAACCGGGGAACUGCGUCUGAUACUGGAUGGCUCGAGUUUGGGAGAGGGAUGCGGAAUUCCAGGUGUAGCGGUGAAAUGCGUAGAUAUCAGGAGGAACACCGGUGGCGAAGGCGGAUCUCUGGGCCUUACCUGACGCUGAGGCGCGAAAGCUAGGGGAGCGAACAGG